GAUCCUGGCUCAGGAUGAACGCUGGCGGCGUGCUUAACACAUGCAAGUCGAACGAUUAACCCGCCCUCGGGCGGUUAUAGAGUGGCGAACGGGUGAGUAACACGUGACCAACCUGCCCCUUGCUCCGGGACAACCCAGGGAAACCUCGGCUAAUACCGGAUACUCCGCGCAGCCCGCAUGGGAGGCGCGGGAAAGCCCAGACGGCAAGGGAUGGGGUCGCGGCCCAUUAGGUAGACGGCGGGGUAACGGCCCACCGUGCCCGCGAUGGGUAGCCGGGUUGAGAGACCGAUCGGCCACAUUGGGACUGAGAUACGGCCCAGACUCCUACGGGAGGCAGCAGUGGGGAAUUUUGCGCAAUGGGGGAAACCCUGACGCAGCAACGCCGCGUGCGGGACGAAGGCCUUCGGGUUGUAAACCGCUUUCAGCAGGGAAUAUAGUGAAGGUACCUGCAGAAGAAGCUCCGGCUAACUACGUGCCAGCAGCCGCGGUAAUACGUAGGGAGCGAGCGUUAUCCGGAUUCAUUGGGCGUAAAGCGCGCGUAGGCGGCCCGUCAAGCGGGGUUUCAAAUCCAGGGGCUCAACCUCUGGCCGGACCCCGAACUGGCGGGCUCGAGUGCGGUAGAGGAAGGUGGAAUUCCCAGUGUAGCGGUGAAAUGCGCAGAUAUUGGGAAGAACACCGAUGGCGAAGGCAGCCUUCUGGGCCGCCACUGACGCUGAGGCGCGAAAGCUAGGGGAGCGAACAGGAUUAGAUACCCUGGUAGUCCUAGCCGUAAACGAUGGGCACUAGGUGUGGGGGAGCAUCUCCUCCGUGCCGCAGCCAACGCAUUAAGUGCCCCGCCUGGGGAGUACGGCCGCAAGGCUAAAACUCAAAGGAAUUGACGGGGGCCCGCACAAGCAGCGGAGCAUGUGGCUUAAUUCGAAGCAACGCGAAGAACCUUACCAGGGCUUGACAUAUGGGUGAAGCGGGGGAGACCCCGUGGCCGAGAGGAGCCCAUACAGGUGGUGCAUGGCUGUCGUCAGCUCGUGUCGUGAGAUGUUGGGUUAAGUCCC
rnacentral:rRNA from 1 species